UAAWMAUGCAGUCGACGCACAGCGAAAGGUGCUUGCACRCKUUCAAGUGAGUGGCGAACGGGWRAGKAACACGUGGACAACCUGCCUCAAGGCUGGGGAUAACAUUUGGAAACAGAUGCUAAUACCGAAUGAAACUUAGUGUCGCAUGACACGAAGUUAAAAGGCGCUUUGGCGYCACCUAGAGAUGGAUCCGCGGUGCAUUAGUUAGUUGGUGGGGUAAAGGCCUACCAAGACAAUGAUGCAUAGCCGAGUUGAGAGACUGAUCGGCCACAUUGGGACUGAGACACGGCCCAAACUCCUACGGGAGGCUGCAGUAGGGAAUCUUCCACAAUGGGCGAAAGCCUGAUGGAGCAACGCCGCGUGUGUGAUGAAGGCUUUCGGGUCGUAAAGCACUGUUGUAUGGGAAGAACAGCUAGAAUAGGGAAUGAUUUUAGUUUGACGGUACCAUACCAGAAAGGGACGGCUAAAUACGUGCCAGCAGCCGCGGUAAUACGUAUGUCCCGAGCGUUAUCCGGAUUUAUUGGGCGUAAAGCGAGCGCAGACGGUUGAUUAAGUCUGAUGUGAAAGCCCGGAGCUCAACUCCGGAAUGGCAUUGGAAACUGGUUAACUUGAGUGCAGUAGAGGUAAGUGGAACUCCAUGUGUAGCGGUGGAAUGCGUAGAUAUAUGGAAGAACACCAGUGGCGAAGGCGGCUUACUGGACUGUAACUGACGUUGAGGCUCGAAAGUGUGGGUAGCAAACAGGAUUAGAUACCCUGGUAGUCCACACCGUAAACGAUGAACACUAGGUGUUARGGAGGUUUCCGCCUCUUAGUGCCGAAGCUAACGCAU
rnacentral:rRNA from 1 species